GAGUUAACGCUGUUUCUGGACACUAUUUGCAUACAGUUUUUCUUCAUCAACAUAAUCUUCUCUGAAUGACACCUGUUUGACUAUAAAGGAAAUAGAAGCCAAACAUCAGCAGUCCUCCAGACCUCUAGGGGGAGUCGGGGCCAGACGCUCGGUAAAGACGGGAUGUCCAGAAGGAAGUUGGACGAAAGAGGAAAAGCUUUCUGCUGCCGUUUGUUCCCGAUUUUUUUAUAUCAACCCAGACGAGGCAUCUCAGCCACUGCCGCUAACCCCGAGGUCCGAUGGGAGCAGAAGGAGCGUCUCACCGCCAGCGGCCAGUUGAUGCAGGGCAUCUUCACCUGCAGCCUGCA